CUUCUCCUCGAUGUAGACCACCAUGUUGACAUCCAGCCUCAGGACCUGGGACAUGUAUAUCAGAUGAUGACAGCACCGUUGUUUCUAUGAGCAAGAUCGUGCAUCAAUGAAUGGGUACGAGGCCAGAACGGCCACCGUAUGAAAAUGGCAGGGUGUGUUUAAAAAACCGGCCAGGGCUAGGGAACGCUGCCAUACGAGAAAUGUAAUAAUCAAAUUUAUUAUCCAAAAUACUGUUAUAUUGAUUGUGAAUGAGUGAGUAAAAUGUCGCUUUGAACAA